UACCAGCACCCCGAGUGGUCGGGACGAUUAUUGGGCCUAAAGCAUCCGUAGCCGGUUCUACAAGUCUUCCGUUAAAUCCAUCUGCUUAACAGAUGGGCUGCGGAGGAUACUAUGGAGCUAGGAGGCGGGAGAGGCAGGCGGUACUUAGUGGGUAGGGGUAAAAUCCGUUGAUCCACUGAAGACCACCAGUGGCGAAGGCGGCUUGCCAGAACGCGCUCGACGGUGAGGGAUGAAAGCUGGGGGAGCAAACCGGAUUAGAUACCCGGGUAGUCCCAGCUGUAAACGAUGCAGACUCGGUGAUGAAAAGGCUUCGUGCCUUUUCAGUGCCGCAGGGAAGCUGUUAAGUCUGCCGCCUGGGAGUACGGUCGCAAGACUGAAACUUAAAGGAAUUGGGCGGGGGAGCACCACAAGGGGUGAAGCCUGCGGUUC
rnacentral:rRNA from 1 species